AUGACAAACGCAAAGGGAAAGAGGAGAGGGGCCUGGUAUAUGUUUUCUGAGACUUUAGAGAAGUUGAGGUUGUUUCUUUGGCCACAUGCAUGCAAAUGUACAAGAGGUGUGUUAUGGAAGGCAUCAAGCAAAUGAGUACUGUUACCAUGGCAAAACUGAUAGAGUCCACACCAUCACUCAGCAUGCCAUGAGCAUCACUGUAAACAAGCAGGUUACGUGUAAGAUCAUUAACAUGAGUCUUAAUGUGUACACUGAGCCUAUUAGACACUCUAAGAGCAGAGACAACUUCCUGAAUGGAUAAAGGAAAACAAUCAGGGAAAAAGAAAAGCCAAAGAGAGAGGUGUGUGGGUUGAGCUAAAGCUCCAGCCUGCUGCACCCAGGAAGCCCAGUUAGGGAAGACUGAAGGAAAGACUGGGAGCCGCUGGAGCCUAUUCCUUGUGACUUCGUGGCU
rnacentral:lncRNA from 1 species